rnacentral:lncRNA from 1 species
UCAUAAUGAAAGGAAGACGCCACCCACAUCUCAACACCAUAUACGCAUUGUGAUUAAUAACCCACUUUGUAUAUACUGUGCACCCGUGUUGUCACGUCUUUGCAUGAUCGAGUGGGCAAUGAACGGGGGGAGAGACACAAAUAAA